CCUGAAAAAGAACACUAAUACAAUCGGUCUCAUCUCAUGCACAGAGCAGUUUCAUUGCUCAAUUAUUGUUUCCUAUUAUGAUCUAGACUGAUGGUCAUUACAAGUUGAUCUUUGGCUUGAAAAAUAUAGCACUCAGUAGAAGGUUAACAUCUACUAUUUCCAUAGUUCUUAUUAAAAAUAAUUUCCUUUUUUUUGUAGAUUUGCAUUGAAUGACAAGUUACAUUUUUGCGGAUUUAAAAUCACAUCAAAACAUUGCUAGAACAAAGAUUCCCACAAUAGUGUUUUUUAGUGUAGGUAUAUUACAUUUUUACAUAUUUACAUUUUUAACAGCGUGCAAAAUCAAGCAAGUCUUAUUCAUAGAACCAUCACGGGUAGAGAUCAAGAAAGUAUCGCAAAUCCGUGUAUUAACCACUAUAGUUUUCAGAAAAAAAAAACGUAAUUACCAAUUCCAUUCUUCUGACGCAAAAAGAAUUCGAGGUGUUACCUAUGCGUCAGAUACCUUCAGGUAGACAAAGUAGUGAAAUUCCCCAGAAGCUAUUGGGGGGUUCAUCGACACGCAUUCAGACGAAUUGUAUCGAGUGUCGCAUAUUGCACCGCAUAGGGAGAGGUGAAAUCGUCUGCAAGGGAUUGUAUUGAUUAGGAAAUAGAUCGACUAAUAUUGGAAUAUGCAUUACGGUAGUCGACAACGGACAACGGAGUCUUUGUCUCAAGAGAUGAUGUAUGUAUACCUAGUAAAAACAUUUCCAGCUUAGUAAGUGUCUAUAUUAUCAAGAAUAAAGCGGUAUGGCCGGUAUUGAGACACCCAUUAUUUAAUAAUGAUAUUAAUUGCUCUAGUUGUUGUCAGGGACGGCCAAUUAUGACGCACGAUUUUCUAGGAUUCAGACUAGGGAAAUAUGACUUGGCGACCGAAAGUCAGAUGACCAAUUUUAGGUUGUCGUUUCACUUUAUGGCAGCUGUCUGUGGCCGCUGUAAACUACCCCAGAAAACACUUCUAUCACUAACAAUCUUCCAUAGCCAGACAACUAUAUAUGGCAUGCAUUGAUUUUGCUAUCAUCAUAUUUCUUAUCCUCCUUGAAAUUUAAGGGUAGUGUACCCCGACCACAGAGGGUUGCCAGAAGUGACUUUAUAUUCAGUAUCUAUAGAAGAUUUACUUUGUGAAUUUUCAUGGGCAUACGAUUAAUUGACCUUUUUUGAAAUUGUCGUGUACGACAAUGACUUAAUUUUGACGUAAUUCGCCAACUGAAAUGUCUUCUUCUCAAGAUGCCUGAAAUGACAGUCGCACGCUACAUUUUCAAAACCAGAUAGGUACUCUGAAAACAAAAUCAACAAAUAUUUCGCUGUAAAACAAAAAAAAACUAAUCCUGACCUGUUUCAGAGUUGGGAGAAAUCUGAAUCUCUAGCCGGGUUGCAGAAAAGGUUCGAAUAAACACAUGAUUGGGAAUGAUGAGAAUUUAUUUCGAAACACAUGAAAUAAAAAAUUAAAACAAAAUUCCUGAAAGGAAGAAAAGCUUGUGUGGAGAAAUCACCCCGCACGCAGAGUUCAACAAAUAAAAUAAGAAAAUCUUAAAAUUA